GUGUCCACAUAACCUGUGGCAAUGGCUGCAGCAGCACGGCGUGUAAUCUGGAUGGACAUGUCAGGGUACACGUGCACUUACUUCAAGAUGACGACACUCCACCUCAAGAACAGCCUCUCCUCAAUGAUAAGUAGCGAGAUUAAAUGAAAGGAAGAUAUCACAUCCGUAACCAGACUGAUACUGUGUUUUCCUUUCAUUUAACCUCCUUCUGCAUUUAAGGAAGCAUUGAUAUGCCCAAUAAAUGUUUUUGUUAAAUUUC
rnacentral:lncRNA from 1 species